GAUGAACGCUGGCGGCGUGCCUAAUACAUGCAAGUCGAGCGAAUGGAUUAAGAGCUUGCUCUUAUGAAGUUAGCGGCGGACAGGUGAGUAACACGUGAGUAACCUGCCCAUAAGACUGGGAUAACUCCGGGAAACCGGGGCUAAUACCGGAUAACAUCUUGAACCGCAUGGUUCGAAAUUGAAAGGCGGCUUCGGCUGUCACUUAUGGAUGGACCCGCGUCGCAUUAGCUAGUUGGUGAGGUAACGGCUCACCAAGGCAACGAUGCGUAGCCGACCUGAGAGGGUGAGCGGCCACACUGGGACUGAGACACAGCCCAGACUCCUACGGGAGGCAGCAGUAGGGAAUCUUCCGCAAUGGACGAAAGUCUGACGGAGCAACGCCGCGUGAGUGAUGAAGGCUUUCGGGUCGUAAAACUCUGUUGUUAGGGAAGAACAAGUGCUAGUUGAAUAAGCUGGCACCUUGACGGUACCUAACCAGAAAGCCACGGCUAACUACGUGCCAGCAGCCGCGGUAA
rnacentral:rRNA from 1 species